rnacentral:lncRNA from 1 species
CACAACUUUAGUCAUCCAGGCUGGGGAUGUUGAAAUGGGAACCAGAAGCCAGGGCGGCUGACUGGCCACCUGAGGAACCUCAGGUUCACUCAAACCACAAGAAAACAGAUACCAGUUUUGGGAGUAGGAGACUCCCCUUCGGAAACGAGGAAGAGAGCCUCUCUGGUUCAGGCCCACUGGUGGAUGGUCAUCUUUAUGUGCAGCUGCGCAAAACUGGAGCAGGCAGACACCAGCAUGGUACUGCUUAAACUAUUAAGGGCAUGUCAUUGGUGGUACACUUUACAGUUAUCAAAUACUGAGGCUAGAUCAUGAAGGAACUAGAGGAUGAAUGGACAUUACCCCUGGAUGCUGGUCUUGAACACAGAUGCCGUAACCAUAAUCCUUCAGGUUGUCCAACUUCUGGAAUGGGGACAUCUCCAGACUUUUCCAGAGGCUUCCGUGUUUCUUGGCUUCAUGGUGCCCAGGCCGCCCUGGGUGAGAACAGUUGACUGGUCUGAACUCCGCUGGUCAAGGGCAUUUCGUCUCCCCUAUUCCAGGUGAAGCUGUUUUCAUCUUGGCCCCAGGAGCUUGUCCUCAUUUUCUGAGGCGACAGAAGAGGAACUGAGAACCCAAAUUCUUUGUGCAAUGCAGGCUCUCUGGGUGUCAAAUACCCAUAAAACCAUUGCAUCCCGGCCUCAAGGUGGUGGUAUUUGCCUCCCACUCUCAAAGGAACAUCUGGAAGCCUGAAUGGAGAAGGAGGGCUGAUCAGCCAUCAGCUCAGCUGGGGCAGUGUUCCCUGACCUGUCAGCUCUUCCCCUUCAGACCUCAGAGGAUAGAGAGGGUCAGCUGGCAACCUCCACUGAGCCUGUGAACCAGUCCCAGGAGCUUCUCCAGCAGGUGUUUGUCCUUAGGCGGAGAUGUUUCCUGGAUGCCUCACUCCUUUGCCUCUCAAGGAUAAAUGCCCCGAUGACAGAAACCCCCAGCCCCUGCCCAGUGACAGGAAGUGCUGACUUCAACACUGGGUCCUGCCAUUUACCAGAGAGCCCUUGAAGAAAAAAUCAAGAGGAGAAAGGCCCAAAAGAAAGAAAACACGGUGGGCCAGAAAAAUUUCAUCAGGCAGAUUGCUUCAAGAUGAAGACCAACCAGAGAAAAUAUUCCCAGGAGUUAAAAUACGCAGCACGUUUUAGAUACCAAUGACGGCGAUUUGCUUUCUCUUCAUUUCUGUCUUCACAUUGCUGACAACUCCCCUCAUUGUCUUAAAUAUGGAUUGCCAAAGUCAAUUAAAUACGCAAGAGGAACAUUGUACAUUUUGGAGGAAAGUAAUUAUUGUUACACCUUAGAGCAGCUUAAUGAAUACAUUAAUAAACGAUCCUUCGCCAUGUUUUUCUUUUCAUAGCCAUCAAAAUCUUUAUAAAACCUACAGCACAAUACAUAACAUCUCGUUACAAGAUUUGCUUUUAAAAAAAUCAAUGCAUACCUAA